rnacentral:ncRNA from 1 species
UAGGCGAUAGAAAAGUUACUUGACGCAAUAGAAAAUUCGUACCGUGAGGGAAAGUUGAAAUAGCAAUGAAAAACCAAGCAUAAAACAGCAAAGACUAACUCUUGUACCUUUUGCAUCAUGAUUUAGCAAGAAUAACCAAGCAUAAUGAACUUUAGCUUGCCAUCCCGAAACCUAUGCGAGCUACCUACAAGCAGCUAUCAUGAGCAAACCCGUCUCUGUGGCAAAAGAGUGGGAUGACUUGUUAGUAGAGGUGAAAAGCCAAUCGAGCUAGGUGAUAGCUGGUUGCCUGCGAAACGAAUGUAAGUUCACCCCUAAAUUUUUCCCCUCCAGAUAUCCUAAAUUACUACAAUGAGAUAUUUAGGAGCAAUUUAAAGGAGGUACAGCUCCUUUAAAUCAGGACACAACCUAAACCAGAGGAUAAUGCAAACUACUCCUUUUACAUGUAGGCCUUCAAGCAGCCAUCAAUCAAGAGUGCGUUAAAGCUCUUAUCUACAAAAAUACCAAAAACACCAUGAAUCCCUCACCACUAGCAGACCAACCUAUGACCAUAGGAGAAUUCAUGCUAAAAUGAGUAAUUUGAAAAGCACCCCUUCUCUAGGCGCAAACUUACAUACUAGACUAUUAUUAACAGUACGACUUAUACCACUACUCCACAAGACCAAAUAUUUAACCAACCUGUUACCCCCACCCUGGAGCGCCCCCUAGAAAGAUUUAAAUCUGCAAAAGGAACUCGGCAAGCCCAAGGCCCGACUGUUUACCAAAAACAUAGCCUUCAGCUCACACAAGUAUUGAAGGUGAUGCCUGCCCAGUGACUAAAGUUUAACGGCCGCGGUAUCCUAACCGUGCGAAGGUAGCGCAAUCAAUUGUCUCAUAAAUCGAGACCAAUCAGUCCCAAAGCCGCCAAUUAUUACUGGUAUAACUAUGAAGAAAAUUAUAACGAAGGCAUGGGCUGUUACGAUAACGUUGUAAAUUUGGUCAUCGCCUAGU